GUGACUUUAGUUUAAAGUAGAAUAUUGGUUUGUCUAACCAAAGGUGAUAUGGUAUCCAGUCACU
rnacentral:tRNA from 1 species